GUAUGUGCAUAUAUAUACAAGUAUACCUUAUUCUAUAGCACUUUCCUUUAUUGACCUUUGCAGAUAUUGUGAUUUUUACAAAUUGAAGGUUUGCAUCAACCCUGCUUCAAGCAAGUCUAUUGGCACCAUUUUCCCAACAGCUUGUGUUCAUAUUUUGAUUCUAAUUUUGCACAGGAAUUUUAUUCAUAGCAUAUCCACAUGCCUUGAUGGAAGAUGGUUCAUCUACAGUUAC
rnacentral:lncRNA from 1 species